UGCAGCUUCAGCACACAUUCUAUUAUUAUUAUUAUUAUGAUAUUUAUAGAGCGCCGUCAAAUUCUGCAGCACUUUACAAUGGGUGGACAAACAGACAUGUAGUUGUAACCAGACAAGUUGGACACACAGGAACAGAGGGGUUGAGGGCCCUACUCAAUAAGCUUACAUGCUAGAGGGAGUGGGGUAAAAUGACACAAAAAGGUAAGGAUAGUGUUAGACUAGUGACAGUUGCAGAAGAGGAAUCAGUCAGGAGCUAUUACAGUUUAAUUGAUACGCUUUUAUGAAGAAGUAGGUUUUUAACGAUUUUUUUAAAGGAGUGGAGACUGGGUGAGCAUCUAACGGAGGAGGGAAGCGAGUUCCACAGGAACGGUGCAGCCCUCGCGAAAUCUUGAAGGCGAGCAUCAGAGGUGGGAGUACGGCAGAAGAUAAACGUAAGUCUUCAGCAGAUCGUAAGGGCCUAGACGGGACAUACUUGUGUAUAAGGGAGGAUAGAUAGGUGGGAGCAGCAUUAUGUAGAGAUUUGAAAGCAAGAACCAGAAUUUUAAAUUGAGAUCUAUAUUUUAUAGGAAGCCAAUGUAGGGACUGACAGAAGGGUGAGGCAUGGGAGGUGCAGGCGGACAGGAAGAUGAGCCUCGCCGCCACAUUCAUUAUGGACUGUAACGGCGCAAGUUGGGAGCACGUAAGACCACUGAGAUCGGUGCUGGGCAGCCAUCAAAGCACAGCCCUAUUCAUGGGCAGAGAGGCAUGCAGAGAUACCUGCCGAGGAUUUUUUCAAACCCUCAUCAAGGACAGAGUCCCUGAGUGAUUUGACACAUAUUGGCCCUCCUCAACUGCAUUGCAAAUGCAGAAUUUACAGUUCCAUUCUAUCAGUGUCUGUUUCCUCCAAACCAUGGCAAUGAUCUGUCCUGGCAGUCUAUAGGUGUUGCUUUGGUUAUGUUACUCACAGUGUUUCUUUAAAGGGACACUAUAGUCACCAAAACAACAACAAUUAGUUUUUUUUAAUUAGAUUUAAGCAGGGCCGGCGCUACCUGUAAGGCGGACUAGGCAGCCGCCUAGGGCGCCCCUUCGGAGGGUGCGCCGCCAGGAGCGCCGGCCCCGCUCAUACUGCAGCCGCCCAAGCGCUCUGCAGAGAGCCUCAGGCGGCUGCAGCUUUGCCCAGGCGGUUUGUCCAUGAGGGCGGAACCGCACCGCCUGGGCGCAGCAUGGGGAGAGGGGCUGACAGGAGGGAAGCGCUCAGGUCUCCCUCCUGUCACUCCCUCCCUGUAGCAUGGCCGGGCC